AUCUGAAUAGUUUAAAAAGAUUUUAAUUUGUGGAAUUAAAGGUACUAAAUUAAUAGUAGUUUCGGAUA
rnacentral:tRNA from 1 species